UAUUGGACAAGGGGACUGGUUAAUAGAACUAACUAACCAGAACUGUUUUGUUCUAUUAACCCAUUCCCUUGUCUAAUA
rnacentral:miRNA from 1 species